rnacentral:rRNA from 1 species
UACGGAGGGAGCUAGCGUUGUUCGGAAAUACUGGGCGUAAAGCGCACGUAGGCGGCGUCGCAAGUCAGGGGUGAAAUCCCGGGGCUCAACCCCGGAACUGCCCUUGAAACUGCAAUGCUAGAAUAUUGGAGAGGCAAGUGGAAUUCCGAGUGUAGAGGUGAAAUUCGUAGAUAUUCGGAAGAACACCAGUGGCGAAGGCGACUUGCUGGACAAUUAUUGACGCUGAGGUGCGAAAGCGUGGGGAG